AUGGCGGCCGGAAGCCGCCGCGCGGGAGAGACUUGGGGCGCGGGUCGGGGCUAGGGCUCCUGCCCUGGCAGAGAUCUUCGCUCUUCCGUGGUGGCCGGGGACCGGGCAGUGAGCGGCCGGCUCUGCCGCCCGCGGGGCGCGGGUUUGCAAGGUCACUCCUCCGGCGUUGACGCGGGGGCACCCCAUGUGCACUGCUGGACCUGAGGGAUGGGAAAGCCACAGGUGGCUGCCUUGGCCCUCCCGGUCUGGCCUCCCGCUAGCGGGCGCCAGCUCUGGACCCGAGACCCAUCUGAAGGAAAGGGAAGGGAGCUGGCGUUGCUGGUGAUUCUGCCCAAGCUCAGGACUGGGAGAGAACGAGCCAAGUUCUGGUCUCAGCUUACACACUAGCUACUGGGAGACCCUGGGCGGGUCCUGAAGUUUUCUGGGCUUCAGUCCCCUCGGCUACUACAAGAAGGAUAUUGAUUAGAGUAAUCCCAGAUCAGCCCCAGCUCUAAUAUUCUAGGUUCCCAUAACGUUCACACCCAGUCCUGAUUGUGUGGCAACUCCUUCCCAGUGGAGGAAGCGACUGUUCCAAGAGCCAGUUUUGGAAUUGUAGGCACAAACACAGGAGAAUGUGGUCAGUGUUUCAGCCAGUGCUUGCUGCUGAGGCAGGAGAGAAUAAUUGUGUAAAGAGGGGGCUCCCGCAGUGCAGGACAGGAAGCCACCAUGUGAGCACCACAUCCACGUGCAGGUCGCAGGCUUCAUCAUGUCCUGAAUACCAUGCCUUAGCAUUUUAUAUUUCAGGUUUCUACUUCUACAUCUCCAGCCCUGAAUACUCAUGGAAUAUCGCUGUACCUAUGACAGAGUGAAUGCUGAAACUUGGAAGCCAACUGACAAGAUGCCAGGGAUGGCAUGGCAAGGAAGAGAGAGCCUUCAUGGCAAUUUUGAAUACCUGAUCUCUUGCUUUCAUCAUCUUGUCUAGGGGAAGAAACACGGAGCCUGGUAGUUGGGAGGUGAGAGGCAGGAAUGGAUACCAGAGAUGGACAGACAGUGGGGUGGUGAGAAGGGAGCUGCAAUUUGCUAAUCCUUGUAGUACUACCUGUCAAUCAUCUUGCUUUCCUUAAUCAUCGAUCCUGGAGAGACUUUGAGGAAAGGGCUGGUGGAGUUGCGCAGAUGUGAUCUUCAUUUCAGCCUUAUGAAUACAUACCAAGGUCUCUUUAAAUCUGUGGUUCCUGCACAAAGUGCUGUGACUUCAGGCUAAUAGAGAGGUCCAGAUGUCACAUGUGCCAAUUAGAAAGAAAUGAGGACCAUGGCUAUGGCCCACUGUGUUCAGAAGACACGCCCAAGCCACCCAUUGUCAUUCAUUGUGUCUAAUACUUGACCUGUCCUGCUGUUUAUUAUGUGGGGUGGCUCCAUAUUUUAAAAACUGUAUUCAUAAAAAGAUAUUUCUCAUCCUGCUGAGUCUCAGGCCCAUUGUUGUAGGUGAGGUGGUUUCUUUUGUUUGAUAUAUAACGUUUUGCUGACUUUCGACUUGGGAAUUGCAAAGGCUUACCCAAAACCCUGAAGGAAAAGCUAAGAAUUCAUACUUAUUAAGCACUUGGUAGGUGUCUGACACUGUAGUAGAUAUAUGCGAGAGCCCAGAACAAGCUGAUGUCCAUGUACAUAUCUUUAAAAAAUAUAAUGAUCUAGUCUUAUCUGUGGAAACUGCUUCAGAUACUGAUCUUACUCUUUCCUGUUACAUCAGAAAUUCUGGAAGGUAAUAUCCUGAAAGAUUUAUCCUCAAGAAUAACAAUACAUUAAAAUCUUCUGCUUUGAAAAUGCUUUGAAAUUGUCAGUUUUUUUUUUUUUUUUUUUUUUUUUUUGCUAUAGAGUAUAAGGUAGGAAAUAUUUGGCAGGUAAAAUGAGACAUCCUCUCAACUCUGUCAGUUUUUGUCAAUUUCUGGGAUGAUGAAAGAUAUGAGAACUAGAAGGCUGGUUUAGUACUGACUCCUGGUUUAUGUUAAAUAAUGAAAUGCAAGCCAGAAAAACAAAUUGGCGGGGGCUCCGGCCAGCCAGCCAUUCUGCAAGCGCUUGGGAUUGGGCAAAGUGAGAGUCCAGGUCACAGACAAGGCCGGCUCUAAUCCAGAUAACUGUGGAGUCAGCAUUAAUGUGCUGACUCACUGCAGCGACUCUCAAGCAUUUCUCUUACCCUUUAAAUGCUUCCAAGUUUUAUACUUUAAGUCCAAGUAGGCACCACAGGCACCAUGUGGACAAGCAGGAGGGUCGGCCUGGGGUCCUACAAUAAGUGAUACCACCUCCCUUUUGAGGUGGUAAAAACCAGAGCAUUGGAGGAGUCAGGGCAGAGGUGCAGACACCUUCCUGGGACCUGUUGAAUCCUUUCAGGUGUACGUAGCUGCUGGGCUCUGAGCUCUGUAUUUUUUUCCCAGCCUUAUUCUUAGGGUCUGAUUUUAUUCCAAUCAAGUCUUUAACAUUCUUUCCUUGGUUUCUUCAGUAUAGCACACCCCACAGUAUGGUAUUGUGUGGGGACUCUCAGCUUGAUGGAUGCUGAUUUUUCUGGUUCUAAAAAAUGUUAUUUAUUGAUCUAUCUAUUUUAAUUUACACCUAUGCAGUUAUUUAUUUACUCUGGUGAAUAGAGAACACAUUCUUGACACGGGGAAGGAAUACACUCCUUUAAGCUUCUCCUAGCACCACUGUGAAAACUUCUAGACUUUUUUUCCUCCCAAAUCCUAUGAACAUGUUAGCGAGUUCCUCUCUGCCUUCUACUCAGAACUCAAAAUACAGUUUCUCUAAUCUGAAGGUAGGACCAAACCCCAUAUAUAAAAUUACCAGAGUAAUAUUUGUAAAGACAGUUUCAAAAGAAGAAAAGGCUUAAUUGUAACUUGUAAAUGAUGGUUCAUGAAGGAAUGUAGAUAAUUUAUAAGACUGGUUUGAUUUCGUUGGUAGAAAUAUUUUCAACAGCGUGUGGCUGAAAAGUUAGAAAAUUUCUAUCAGUCAUGCUUUUUAGCAAAGCAUCUUUUUACUGCUUUUAGAGUCAUGCACAAGAAAACAUGCAGCUUACUAGCUAUAAAAUACUAUUGCUCCAUUUUAACUCUCUCUUUGUUUUGAUUUUUUCUUUUUAUUUUUCAAAAUAUUAUUGGUUAUAGAAUUUGUACUUGGUUUCUGCAACAUCUUAUGCUCCCCUAAAGAACAAUUCAAACUAUAUAGGUUUGCAUAGAUCCACAGAGUAGGUCUCACAAAGACAGAGUUAUCCUUUGCUGCUGGUAUGUCAUUUUGUAGGCAUGGUAGCUGUGGCAAGGGCUGGUGACAACUGCGUAGGGUGAAAAUGACUAUAUGAUUUUAAGGAUUGUGGAGGGACGCAGCAAUAAAUCUGCUCUGGUAGGAGUGACAGUAGCCCUGGACCUAGCUCGGGGCUGUACCCUAUCACUUACUCCAGAAUAAAGCUGAAGACCACAGCCAAGUCUUGCAUAUGCAGAAGGACACAAUACUACAUUGGUGCUGGGCUCAGGCACAGCACUAGAAUUUAAUGGAAAAGUUGGUAGUUGGCACCAGAACAAAGUAGAUCGGGUCCAGAGAGCCAAAGAUAUGUUUCUCUCAAUCUUAGGAGACUGUUAACUGUUGCACUCAGGCUGCUCCAGGAAGGUAGCAGUGACAAUUUUGAUGAUGUGCUGUGUGGCUUAUUACCAUUUGUCUUAGUCUGCUCAGGCUGCUAUAAAACAUACCCUAAGAUGGGUAGCUUAUAAGCUAAACAGAAGUUUAUUGUCCAGUUCUGGAAGCUGGGAUGUCCAAUAUCCAGGCACUGUCAGGGUAGGUGUCUGGUGAGGGCUCAUACUCUGGCUCUUAGACAGUGCCUUUUCCUUGCUUCCUCAGGUGGUAGAAGGGACAAGAGAGCUGUCUGUUUCCUUUAUAAAGGCACUAAUCCCAUUUGUGAGGGCUUCAGUCUUAUGACCUAAGCACCUCCCAAAAAUCUCACUUCGUAAUCCCAUUACCUUGGGGAUUAGACUGUCAACAUGUGAAUUUUGAAGGGACAUAAUCAUUCAGUUCAUUGUACCAUUUGAGUUACUCAACUGAGCUCUUCUUUGAAAACUAAGUCUCUUUCUAAAUAUCCUGAACUUAAUAGAAAUAACUUACCUUUUAAAGUAAGAAUUACCCUUUAAGAAUAGAAUAACCCUCUCAGGCUACCACGUUCUGACUUCACUAGAAUCUUAGAAAGAAAGAGAGAGAGAAAGGCAGAGAGAGAGAGAGGGAGGGAAAGAGAGAGAGAGAGAGACCAAAAAAAUCAUUCACACACGAACAAGGUAACCAUGGUAUUAAGAGAACCAUAAAUUAUUUAGCAGUGAUUCAUCCUCUAAGCAUGUGUUGAGCAUGUACAAUGUAUAGAGCAUUGUCUAAGGCCUGUACCUAUGUUGGCAAAUUAAGAUAUGACACAGAAUCUCUUCUUAUGGGUCUGAAAGUCUAAUGCAGGGGUCAGCAAACUACGAUCUGCAAGCUGAACCUACCUCCUACUGGUUUUCGUACAACCCUCAAGCUAAGACUGAAAAACACUAAAAGAAGACUAGUAUUUUGUGUCAUGUAAACAAUUAUGUGAAUUUAAUUUAGGGGUACAGACACUGAAAUAAAAUUUUAUCAUAACAUAGCCAUCCUUAUUCUUUUACAUAUUGCCUAUGAUGUUUUUCAUGUUAUAAUGUCCAACUUGAGUAGUUACAUCAAAUAACUUUUGGUGCACAAAGCCUAAAAUAUUUAAUUUUAGCUCUUUACCAAAAGAGUUUCAAUGGGUUUUCUAAUGGUCUAGAAAGCCAUUAAUCAGAUUAUCACACCAUUAAAAGUAAGCAUGUGGGAAAUGCUGGGAAUGAAUGGUGUAUCAAUGUAUGAAUGUGUACAAUGAGAUCUAGAAAUAUAGUGAUGGCAAGCAGACCCAUGGUGGAAUUAAAACCUUCAUCACUUUUUGUUUAAUUCUUUACAGGGCUCACAAGAGACCACACUCAAGGAGUGAUGAACAAAUUUUAAUUGGUAACAUAAUUCUAGUAAUACUAAGUGUUGAGGAGUUUCUGACUGAAUCCCUACUUCUCUGAUGUUGAAGGUGUUGUAAGGCAAAGGGUCAAUAAAUCAAUUUAGUGACAUCCUAUAAUGCCCAGGCUUUCAUUGGCUAACCUUGGCAUUUAUUGGUACUCCAAUUGAAAAAAAAAAAGAAACCUGACAAAUUCACAGAAUAUAGAGAAAAAUGUUGAAGGAUACAAGCUUUUAAAAAUGAGAAAAGAGGGUGAGGAGUGGUGGCUCAUGCCUGUAAUCCCAGCAUGUUGGGAGGCCAAGGCAGGCGGAUCACUUGAGGUUAGGAGUUUGAGACCAGCCUGGCCAACAUGGUGAAACCCCAUCUCUACUAAAAAUAUAAAACUUAGCUGUACAUUGUGGCAGGCGCCUGUAACCUCAGCUACUUGGGAGGCUGAGGCAGAAGAAUUGCUUGAAUCCAGGAGGUAGAGGUUGCAGUGAGCUGAGAUCUUGCCACUGUACUCCAGCCUGGGUGACAGAGUGAGACGCCAUCUCAAAAAUAAAAAUAAAAAAAUUUUAAAUAAAUUUAAAAAAAUGAGAAAAGACAUCAGCUGUAUAGAUAUAUAAAAAUAUAGGAAAUGUAUUUUACUCCACAAAUAAGCAAAAAGUGGAUACUUUUGUGUCAUGAAAGGACUAUUUAAAAUUUAUGGGAAUAAUAUUUUUCUUCUGAGAGAGUCAAAGUACUUGUUUUGUUUUAAUUCUAUGAAUAUUAUUAUGGAAUAGUAAAAAAGUAAAUCUCUUAUGCUGCACUUAGAAUUAAUACAAAGUUAGAUCUUUGAACCAGUUUUUCUGUUAAUUAUUGUGAAUAACAGGAUAUGUGAGAAUAAGGCUCACAUUAUUUGUUAGUUGUGACAAGUUGUUUUCACCAGUUUGCAGUAGAUUUUAGUUGGCAAUAUUACAUAAACAUGACCACUUUAUUAGCCUUUUCUAAUUAUGAUUGAGGAAAAUAAAAAAGCUGGAGAAAAUGAAGUCAUUGUUUCAAAGUAGUAUUGAAAUAAAAUAAACUGUCAUGGUCAUGUAGAAGAGCCUUUGAAUUUUUAGACUCUUAGAGAGAUUCAACUUCAAAGACUACUUUAUUCUCUGAUGCAAAUGCUUUUUAUCAUUCAUCCUCAAAAGAUAUUAUUAGUUCAUUUGUGUGGCUUCAAAAGAUUCUCAUUUAUUUAUUGAACAAACAACUACUGAAUGCCUACUGUGUGCCAGGCACUGCAUCUGAUGUUUGGAAUAAGAAGACGAUUAGAGAGUUUCUGCUGUGCUUAGGUAGUGGGAAGACAAAGGUAAAAAGUUGGACUCCAGUGGCCAGAGGAUUAUCCCCCCAAAGUUGUCUGUAAUAAAGUAAGGGGUUUAGCAUGGAAGUAAAUGGAAUAAUAUUGUCUGCAUACAUUUUAUCUCUCACUUUUAAAAUUUCAUGUGAUAUAUUUUAUUAGCUCUUCUUCAGCCUUUCAGAUUAAAAACAAGAACAUUUAAAAAUUAAACAUUCAGUAUUAGAAAUUUGAUCAACUAAGGUAUUUUCUCAUUGUGGAGAUAUAAGUUACUAUGUAAUCUGCUGUACUAUUCUGGUCUGAAAUUUAAAUAAAACACAAGUCGAAAACAUUUUGCAGAGGAGAAGAAAAAAAGGCAUGGCCUUAAUAGAGAUGUUUUCAGAAAGAAUUAUCCCCUAAAUUGCAUGUCUACCUUUUAAGUAGUUACUAG
rnacentral:lncRNA from 1 species